rnacentral:tRNA from 2 species
GCGGGAGUAGCUCAGUGGUAGAGCAUCACCUUGCCAAGGUGAGGGUCGCGAGUUCGAGCCUCGUUUCCCGCU